rnacentral:rRNA from 1 species
UACGGGGAGGCAGCAGUGGGGGAAUAUUGCACAAUGGGCGCAAGCCUGAUGCAGCCAUGCCGCGUGUGUGAAGAAGGCCUUCGGGUUGUAAAGCACUUUCAGUCGUGAGGAAGGUAGUGUAGUUAACACCUGCAUUAUUUGACGUUACCUACAGAAGAAGCACCGGCUAACUCCGUGCCAGCAGCCGCGGUAAUACGGAGGGUGCGAGCGUUAAUCGGAAUUACUGGGCGUAAAGCGCAUGCAGGCGGCCUGUUAAGUCAGAUGUGAAAGCCCGGGACGUUAACCUCGGAAUUGCAUUUGAAACUGGCAGGCUAGAGUCUUGUAGAGGGGGGUAGGAAUUUCAGGUGUAGCGGUGAAAUGCGUAGAGAUCUGAAGGAAUACCGGUGGCGAAGGCGGCCCCCUCGGACAGAUACUGACACUCAGAUGCGAAAGCGUGGGGAGCAAACAGGAUUAGAUACCCUGGUAG